UACGAAGGGGGCUAGCGUUGCUCGGAAUCACUGGGCGUAAAGGGUGCGUCGGCGGGUCUUUAAGUCAGGGGUGAAAUCCUGGAGCUCAACUCCAGAACUGCCUUUGAUACUGAGGAUCUUGAGUUCGGGAGAGGUGAGUGGAACUGCGAGUGUAGAGGUGAAAUUCGUAGAUAUUCGCAAGAACACCAGUGGCGAAGGCGGCUCACUGGCCCGAUACUGACGCUGAGGCACGAAAGCGUGGGGAGCAAACAGG
rnacentral:rRNA from 1 species